AGUGAACGCUGGCGGUAGGCCUAACACAUGCAAGUCGAACGGCAGCACAGUAAGAGCUUGCUCUUACGGGUGGCGAGUGGCGGACGGGUGAGGAAUACAUCGGAAUCUACUUUUUCGUGGGGGAUAACGUAGGGAAACUUACGCUAAUACCGCAUACGACCUACGGGUGAAAGCAGGGGAUCUUCGGACCUUGCGCGAUUGAAUGACCCGAUGUCGGAUUAGCUAGUUGGCGGGGUAAAGGCCCACCAAGGCGACGAUCCGUAGCUGGUCUGAGAGGAUGAUCGCCCACACUGGAACUGGGCCACGGUCCAGACUCCUACGGGGGGCGGCAGUGGGGAAUAUUGGACAUUGGGCGCAAGCCUGAUCCAGCCAUACCGCGUGGGUGAAGAAGGCCUUCGGGUUUUAAAGCCCUUUUGUUGGGAAAGAAAAGCAGCAGGUUAAUACCCCGCUGUUCUGACGGUACCCAAAGAGUAAGCACCGGCUAACUUCGUG
rnacentral:rRNA from 1 species